UACGGAGGGUGCGAGCGUUGUCCGGAAUCAUUGGGCGUAAAGGGCGCGUAGGUGGUGGCUUAAGCGUGCGGUGAAAGCUCGGGGCUCAACUCCGAGUCGGCCGUGCGAACUGGGCUCACUGGAGCAUAGUAGAGGCAGGUGGAAUUCCGGGUGUAGCGGUGGAAUGCGUAGAGAUCCGGAAGAACACCGGUGGCGAAGGCGGCCUGCUGGGCUAUGGCUGACACUGAGGCGCGACAGCGUGGGGAGCAAACAGG
rnacentral:rRNA from 1 species